ensembl:lincRNA 1700010I02Rik RIKEN cDNA 1700010I02 gene
CUGACCUAGGAACCGGGUCAGUAUCUUAGAGAAGAAAUGAUCAUCUGGAUUACCUAGAAUGAACUAUGAGAACUGAUGACAAGGUAACAUUUUCCAAAUUUGAUGCCAAAGCUUCACUGUCAAUGGUGUCCCUACCCAGGGCAUUUGGGAUAGUAUGAGUAACAAGGCAAGGCAGUGUCCUAGAGCACAUCUUUAAUCUGAGCACUCAGGAGGCAGAGGUUGGAUCUGUUGUAACCAUUCAGGAGGGGUCUUUCAGGGUGAGUCUAAACAGAGAAGAGAAGAAGAGAAGAGAAGAGAAGAGAAGAGAAGAGAAGAGAAGAGAAGAGAAGAGAAGAGAAGAGAAGAGAAAAGAAGAAGAGAAGAAGAAUCUCUGUGGAAAUAUUUGCAAAGUCAUAGCAAAGGAUAAUUGAAUUACACCUAUUGACAUGGGAAUAAAAGUUUUAAAUUA